rnacentral:lncRNA from 1 species
AUGAUACGGUUGUUACUACUGACCAGAUAAUAGAGAAGCAGAAGCAGACACCGUCUCGGAUCCGGAGGACUGGCCACUGUUGACUGAGACCUCUCUUGCUGGGAAUUCAGUGCUCAGGUGUCACAAAUGCAGAUGCCUUCGGGGGUCACCUGGGUGAACAGGCCGAAUGUAAGAGGAUGAGUGGUGGUAACUGGUCACACAAGAGCACAGCUCCCAUCUCAGGGUCAGACUGGUGCGUGCAGAUGCCAAGUGUUUCCUGAGUGCUGCCUCUCAAGACAGAAAAAUGACCUACAAAUCGAUAGCUUUUGCUCCCCCACCUACCCAUGACUGAAAGUCAUGUGUUACUGAAGGUCAAGGGAUAUUUUAGGUGAGUGUCGUUUAGGUGUUGUAAGAGUGAUUAUUAUUUUAACUUGCCCUGGAGUAGAACCCUUUAUUUUUUAUUUUUAGAAUUCUUCUUUAAUGUGAAUAUAAUUUGAUUUUGAAGAAAUCCUAAAUAAUAAAUUUAAGUGGUAAUAAUAAACUGAAUAAUAA